UACGUAGGGUGCGAGCGUUGUCCGGAUUUAUUGGGCGUAAAGAGCUCGUAGGCGGUUUGUCGCGUCGGCCGUGAAAUCUCCACGCUUAACGUGGAGCGUGCGGUCGAUACGGGCAGACUUGAGUUCGGUAGGGGAGACUGGAAUUCCUGGUGUAGCGGUGAAAUGCGCAGAUAUCAGGAGGAACACCGGUGGCGAAGGCGGGUCUCUGGGCCGAUACUGACGCUGAGACGCGAAAGCGUGGGGAGCGAACAGG
rnacentral:rRNA from 1 species